AUGCGACAGUGCCGAGAUUGUAGAAAACGACGGCGACGAGACCUCAGGAAACGACGCUGCGACAAAGAAGAUGACAAUGGCGCUAAUGAAGAUGACAAUGAAAGAAAAGAAAGGGGAGAAGUGAGAGGGGAAGAUCGCGGGAAGAAAGGAAGGGGAAAAAGAGGGAGGCGGCGCGAUGGGUGUCACUGCCGCCGUCGCUGCCGCUGUCGCCAGGAGAAGAGAGGGAGAUCUGAGAGAGCUAAACGGGAAGAGAGGGGAGGAGACCUCGCCACCGCGCCCAGCCCGCUGUGCGCCUUGUUGCAUCGCCGUCCAGACCGCGUCCCUGUCAUCACGAGCUGUCGCUAUCGCCGACCAGGACCCAUCAUCGUUGCUGUUCCCUGCGCCACCGUCGCGCCCCAGCCUUGCCGCCAAGUCGCCGCACAGUCACACCAAGGGAGAACGCUCGCAGGAAGAGAGAGAAGACGCCGUCGAGGAUCCCGUCGCCGUCAGAUCUGUCUUGCGCCGCCGUUGAGGGAGCUCGUCACCGCCGUGGACCUGCUUUAUCGCCGAACUGAGCUAUGGAAGGAAGGGUCAGAACAUUAUGGGAAAGGGAGACGCCUUCCGUCGCUGUCUCGUCGCCAGAGCCGUGUCUCCGCCACGAACCGCCGCCGUUCUGGCUGCCGGAAGCCGCCGCCGAGCCUCUACCUUUUUGUUAAGGUUGCUGUUGGACCAUUGGAGUUUCUGGUCGCUGUCGGAGCUGCCGCCGGGUCAGCUCGGGAUUGCGGCUGUUCCAUUUUGUUCUUACUGAUUGAGUUACCGGGAUUGUCUGUUGCAAUUAGAGCCGUUUCUGCUAUUGCAGAAGUGAGCAGACCGGCGAUUGAAGCUGCUGUUGAUUCCGGGCGGAGAUGAAUGGUUUUUGUGACACCUUUAGUUUAUGGGUUCAACUUUCGAGCUUUACCUUUUCAGGAACCAGAUGAAGAGGCAUUAAGAAGAGUUAUACUGCGUUUGGUUUAUAUGUUAUUGUAUUGAUUAGAUUAUUUUCUUCCCUCGUCUUUGUUAUUACAAUUUUUACAAGAGGGAUAGGAAUUAUAAGAUUUAUAUGUAUUAUAUUAUAAGAUAUUAUGUAAGAAGUCUUGAAUAUGAAUCUAUGCUUGCUUGUUUUUUUUUUAUAAAGUAUUUGUUUUCGGUUUUCAAAGAAAUCAGCGAUACAGUGUUGAGGCACAAGCUCCUAUUUUAAUAUUUAGUAUGUAAAGUAGUCAUAAUACUUCUUGCUAUCAGAGUGGCGCAGCCGGAAGCGUGACAUUCUGGUAGUGAGGGUGUUACAUAAUACAUUAGCCAAUAACAAAUUUUUAAAUGAAACUCAAA